UUUUGUCCUCAAUCACCGUGU
ensembl:piRNA 21ur-10506 ncRNA